UGGAGCAAUUUUCGUCAAAAAUUGCAUUUUUGACAGAAUUUUGACGUUUCCAGCUACAGCAGUCCGGACGAUUUCUUUCAAAAGAGCAAUUUUUGACGAAGAUUGCUCA
rnacentral:pre_miRNA from 1 species